rnacentral:rRNA from 1 species
UUAGAGGCAAACGGGUGGACCCGCAAUACGUCGACCCGGGGGAUUCAACCAGGCCGUGCGUUCGGGACGCGUGGGGGUUACGCGGAGCUGUAAAGCCCGUGCCUUUGCGCAGGUCUCCGGGCGGACUGGUGCACUUUCCUCGGGUUGAUUGCCACGACCGGCUCUCCGUGCGGCCACAAGCCUUUGCUGGGAAGGUGACCGUCGGCCUCCGCGCCGGCGGUGUUAUAGACCAGCUUGUUCGUUGAGCUCGUCGGAGGGCCGAGGAAGUGUUGCCGUUUCUCGUCCACCCUCCGGCCAUCCUUGCUCGUCACGACUGGGGUGAACUGCUCGUCAGUGCUCUCCCGACCGCGAGCGUAGGAAGGGCUGGUACGGUGCGAGAAAGCUUCGGGCCAGUGGCGAAUCGGUCGGUCCUCCACCCGACCCGUCUUGAA